rnacentral:rRNA from 1 species
UACGGCGAAACUGCGAAUGGCUCAUUAUAUAAGUUAUCGUUUAUUUGAUAGUACCUUACUACUUGGAUAACCGUGGUAAUUCUAGAGCUAAUACAUGCUGAAAAUCCCGACUCCGGAAGGGAUGUAUUUAUUAGAUUCAAAACCAAUGCCCCUCACGGGGCUCCCUGGUGAUUCAUGAUAACUCGUCGAAUCGCACGGCCUUGCGCCGGCGAUGGUUCAUUCAAAUUUCUUCCCUAUCAACUUUCGAUGUUUGGGUAGUGGCCAAACAUGGUUGCAACGGGUAACGGAGGGUUAGGGCUCGACCCCGGAGAAGGAGCCUGAGAAACGGCUACUACAUCCAAGGAAGGCAGCAGGCGCGCAAAUUACCCAAUCCCGACACGGGGAGGUAGUGACAAUAAAUACUGAUACAGGGCUCUUUUGGGUCUUGUAAUUGGAAUGAGUACAAUUUAAAUCCCUUAACGAGGAACAAUUGGAGGGCAAGUCUGGUGCCAGCAGCCGCGGUAAUUCCAGCUCCAAUAGCGUAUAUUAAAGUUGUUGUGGUUAAAAAGCUCGUAGUUGAACCUUGGGCCUGGCUGGCCGGUCCGCCUCACCGCGUGCACUGGACCGGCCGGGCCUUUCCCUCUGCGGAACCCCAUGCCCUUCACUGGGCGUGGCGGGGAAACAGGACGUUUACUUUGAAAAAAUUAGAGUGCUCCAGGCAGGCCUAUGCUCGAAUACAUUAGCAUGGAAUAAUGAAAUAGGACGCGCGGUUCUAUUUUGUUGGUUUCUAGGACCGCCGUAAUGAUUAAUAGGGACAGUCGGGGGCAUCAGUAUUCAAUUGUCAGAGGUGAAAUUCUUGGAUUUAUUGAAGACUAACUACUGCGAAAGCAUUUGCCAAGGAUGUUUUCAUUAAUCAGGAACGAAAGUUAGGGGAUCGAAGACGAUCAGAUACCGUCGUAGUCUUAACCAUAAACUAUGCCGACUAGGGAUCGGACGAUGUUCUUUCUUGACUCGUUCGGCACCUUACGAGAAAUCAAAGUGC